UACGUAGGGUGCGAGCGUUGUCCGGAAUUAUUGGGCGUAAAGAGCUUGUAGGCGGUUUGUCGCGUCUGCUGUGAAAAAUCCGGGGCUCAACCCCGGACUUGCAGUGGGUACGGGCAGACUAGAGUGUGGUAGGGGAGACUGGAAUUCCUGGUGUAGCGGUGAAAUGCGCAGAUAUCAGGAGGAACACCGAUGGCGAAGGCAGGUCUCUGGGCCGAUACUGACGCUGAGGAGCGAAAGCGUGGGGAGCAAACAGG
rnacentral:rRNA from 1 species